rnacentral:rRNA from 1 species
CCAAUAGCGUAUAUUAAAGUUGUUGCAGUUAAAAAGCUCGUAGUUGAAUUUCGGGGUUAGUAGGUUGGUCAUGCCUCGGGUAUGCACUGGCCUCACUGAUUCCUCCUUCCUGAUGAGCCGUAAUGCCAUUAAUUUGGUGUUGCGGGGAAUUUGGACUGUUACUUUGAAAAAAGUAGAGUGUUUAAAGCAAGCUAACGCUUGAAUACAUUAGCAUGGACUAAUGAAAUAGGACGUUCGAUCCUAUUUUGUUGGUUUCUAGGAUUGACGUAAUGAUUAAUAGGGAUAGUUGGGGGCAUUAGUAUUCAAUUGUCAGAGGUGAAAUUCUUGGAUUUAUUGAAGACUAACUACUGCGAAAGCAUUUGCCAAGGAUGUUUUCAUUAAUCAAGAACGAAAGUUAGGGGAUCGAAGACGAUCAGAUACCGUCGUAGUCUUAACCAUAAACUAUGCCGACUAGGGAUCGGAUGAUGUUAAUUUUUUAAUGACUCAUUCGGCGCCUUACG